UACGUAGGUGGCGAGCGUUGUCCGGAUUUACUGGGCGUAAAGAGCGCGCAGGCGGUCGUGCAAGUCGCGUGUGAAAGCCCCCGGCUCAACUGGGGAGGGUCACGCGAUACUGCUCGACUCGAAGGCAGGAGAGGGAAGUGGAAUUCCCGGUGUAGUGGUGAAAUGCGUAGAGAUCGGGAAGAACACCAGUGGCGAAAGCGCUCUGCUGGACUGCAACUGACACUGAGGGACGAAAGCUAGGGGAGCGAAAGGG
rnacentral:rRNA from 1 species